UUAAAAAAAAUUGUGAAAAUAUAUAUUCGAACCAGAGACCCGUUGCUUUUGUUCGUUACCAUUGAACAACAACCAUAUUUCCAAUAAAACU
rnacentral:sRNA from 1 species